AAAGAUAUGAUGAUCAUCAAAUUUCUGAAUUACAUCUUCCACAAAGUUUUUUAUUUUAAGCAACUCUACUCUUUCUUUUGACAAUCUGCAGAACACUCCUCAUCUUCGCUACUACUACUGGACGAAAUAAGUAGACAAACAAAGUACCAUUUUUGUGACAUUGCCAUGAAAUUGUAAACAAAAAUGCUAAACAGCUGAUCAGAUUUGAAUGCCGCACGUGCCUCAAGACAUCGUUCGGAACUAUGUGCACUUUAGGCAAAAAAUGUUGCACUGAUAUUCCAAUGAAUACUUGUACUACAAUGACCAAUGGUUUAUAAAAAUUUGCACUCGGUGCGCAUUUUUUCACCAAUAAAUUUGAAAGACAUUUGAAGGAGGUACCUGGUGACAAGCUUCAUGUAGAUCCCCAACCGGCUCAUGUUAAUGUUUUAAAUGUACAUGUACUUAAUAAAUAAAACUUUCUUACCUGUUCAGCCAUUAUUAGACGCAGAGCGGUCAAUGAUAACUAGAAACCAAGAUAAUUUUAAAUGAAAGCAGUUGAAAUAAGAUGCUUAAUUGUUCAAUGUUGUAGUAUUUCCAAUUGAUGUUAAUCCAUUGAGCUACACUUCUGAUCAUACUAAUAAUUCAAUCUCUGCUAACAUUCUUCUCGUAAUGAGAGACACUGAUGUUGAAGCUCCACCUGCGUCUGAAAUGGUGUACCAAAUUCCUAAGUACAAUACAAGUUGUGUGGAGAAAAAAUUAGAUCAAGUGUUGAGAAUGUUAACAGCCAUCAAAUUGGAGCUAGAUGAGCUAAAAUUGAAGAAUCGUAAAACCAACCAGGCUGAACAGGUUUCCAUACCAGAGUUUCCACUAGACCACUACAAUGUGUAGAGGAUUUAGAAACGUUUGAAAGAAACCUACAAACUGACGAGGAAUUUAAAGUAAAAGUGAUUAAAUACUUUAAAUAUGUAGGGGGAACAUCUUUAAGAGACAUAACCACUAGAUGUUUUAUAAAAAGUUUUACAAAUAGCUUGUGCCAAAAAUGUUCGUGGAAGGGCUGGAGAAAUAAUAAUUAUAGAGUUGAAGAUUUAAUUUUAAUUAAAUGUCUUUAUGAUGCUAUUUCUUCAGUUUUCCAAUCCACUGAAAAGGAGUUUGAAACUAUGGUACGGGAUUAUUUGCGUCAUGGAAAGCAACGCCGAGAACGAGAGGAAAAGAACAAGUCCAAAAACGAUGUUGUUUGAUAUA